rnacentral:rRNA from 1 species
ACUGAAACAUCUAAGUACCUGGAGGAAGAGAAAGAAAUUCGAUUCCGUAAGUAGCGGCGAGCGAACGCGGAACAGGCCAAACCAAUGAAGUUUACUUCGUUGGGGUUGCGGACAUACAACAUGGAUGCAAUAUCGUAAAUGAAGAGAGUUGGAAAGCUCCGCCAUAGAAGGUAAUAGCCCUGUAGUUGAAACGAGAAAGCUACUAGUAUGAUCCAGAGUACCACGGGACACGUGAAACCCUGUGGGAAGCAGGAGGGACCAUCCUCCAAGCCUAAAUACUACCUAGUGACCGAUAGCGCAUAGUACCGUGAGGGAAAGGUGAAAAGAACCCCGGGAGGGGAGUGAAAUAGAACCUGAAACCCUGCACUUACAAGCUGUGGGAGCACAUUACUUGUGUGACCGCGUACUUUUUGUAGAACGGGCCAACGAGUUACGUUAAGUAGCAAGGUUAAGCACUUAAGGUGUGGAGCCGUAGCGAAAGCGAGUCUUAAAUGGGCGAUUAAGUUACUUGGCGUAGACCCGAAACCGGGCGACCUAUCCAUGAGCAGGUUGAAGCGAAAGUAAAAUUUCGUGGAGGACCGAACCCACGAGCGUUGAAAAGCUCGGGGAUGACUUGUGGAUAGCGGUGAAAUUCCAAUCGAGCCCGGAGAUAGCUGGUUCUCCCCGAAAUAGCUUUAGGGCUAGCCUCAAGCGUAGAGAAACGGAGGUAGAGCACUGAAUGUCCUAGGGGGUAUUGCACUUACCGAAGACUAUCAAACUCCGAAUGCCGUUUUCUUUUACUUGGGAGUCAGACUGUGGGUGAUAAGAUUCAUAGUCAAAAGGGCAACAGCCCAGAUCGUCAGCUAAGGUCCCUAAAUGUACGUUAAGUGGUAAAGGAUGUGGGAUUGCACAGACAACCAGGAUGUUGGCUUAGAAGCAGCCACUCAUUUAAAGAGUGCGUAAUAGCUCACUGGUCGAGUGAUCCUGCGCCGAAAAUUUCCGGGGCUAAAACGUACUACCGAAGCUACGGCAUCAUUUAUGAUGGGUAGGGGAGCUUCGUAUGCAGGCUGAAGCAUGACCGUAAGGACAUGUGGACAGUAUACGAGUGAGAAUGUUGGCAUGAGUAGCGAGACGUGGGUGAGAAUCCCACGGGCCGUAAACCCAAGGUUUCCAGGGGAAGGUUCGUCCGCCCUGGGUUAGUCGGGACCUAAGCCGAGGCCGAAAGGCGUAGGUGAUGGACAACAGGUUGAUAUUCCUGUACCGCCAAUAAGCGUUUGAGAGAUGGAGUGACACAGUAGGAUAAGCUAACCGUACUGUUGGUUAUGUACGGCUAAGCAUUGAGGCAGUCUAAAUAGGCAAAUCCGUUUAGACAAUGCUAGGAUGUGAUGGGGAAGCCCUUCGGGGCGAAGUAGCUGAUUUCACACUGUCAAGAAAAGCUUCUAUCGAGUUUAAAGGCGCCCGUACCGUAAACCGACACAGGUGGGUGAGGAGAGUAUCCUAAGGCCAGCGAGAGAACUAUUGUUAAGGAACUCGGCAAAAUGACCCCGUAACUUAGGGAGAAGGGGUGCCUGUCUAUGACAGGCCGCAGAGAAUAGGCCCAAGCGACUGUUUACCAAAAACACAGGUUUCUGCUAAGUCGCAAGACGAUGUAUAGGAGCUGACGCCUGCCCGGUGCUGGAAGGUUAAGGGGAUCUGUUAGAGCAAUCGAAGCAGUGAACUUAAGCCCCAGUAAACGGCGGCCGUAACUAUAACGGUCCUAAGGUAGCGAAAUUCCUUGUCGGGUAAGUUCCGACCCGCACGAAAGGCGUAACGAUUUGGGCACUGUCUCAACAAUAGACUCGGUGAAAUUGUAAUCCCGGUGAAGAUGCCGGGUACCUGCGACAGGACGGAAAGACCCCAUGGAGCUUUACUGUAGCUUGACGUUGGGUCUUGGUACUACAUGUACAGGAUAGGUGGGAGACUAUGAAGCAUGGACGCCAGUCUGUGUGGAGUCAUCCUUGGGAUACCACCCUUGUAGUACUGGGAUCCUAACCAUAGGCCUUGAAUCAGGUCUUGGAACACCGUCAGGUGGGCAGUUUGACUGGGGCGGUCGCCUCCUAAAAAGUAACGGAGGCGCUCAAAGGUUUCCUCAGCACGGUCGGAAAUCGUGCGAAGAGUGUAAAGGCAAAAGGAAGCUUGAUUGCAAGACAUACAGGUCGAGCAAGGACGAAAGUCGGACUUAGUGAUCCGGUGGUACCGCAUGGAAGGGCCAUCGCUCAACGGAUAAAAGCUACCCU